ensembl:snRNA U5 U5 spliceosomal RNA
ACACUCUUGUUUCUCUUCAGAUCGUAUAAAUCUUUCGCCUUUUACUAAAGAUUUCCGUGGAGAGGAACAAUAAGAGUUUCAACUAAUUUUUUGAUGCCCUGCUUUAUUGCGGGGCU